GGAGGGAGCAUGGUGGUGGUGGUGAGGAACACAAAGGUACACAUAUAGGAAGAACAAACAACAGCAGACCUGGUUUUUACGAGGCUGUUUGUGAUGGUGGUGGUGAGGAACACAAAGGUACACAUAGGAAGAACAAGCAACAGCAGACCUGGUUCUUAUGAGGCUGUUUGUGAUGGUGGUGGUGAGGAACACAAAGGUACACACAUAGGAAGAACAAACAACAGCAGACCUGGUUUUUACGAGGCUGUUUGUGAUGGUGGUGGUGAGGAACACAAAGGUACACAAAGGAAGAACAAACAACAGCAGACCUGGUUUUUACGAGGCUGUUUGUGAUGGUGGUGGUGAGGAACACAAAGGUACACAUAGGAAGAACAAACAACAGCAGACCUGGUUUUUACGAGGCUGUUUGUGAUGGUGGUGGUGAGGAACACAAAGGUACACAUAAAGGAAGAACAAACAACAGCAGACCUGGUUUUUACGAGGCUGUUUGUGAUGGUGGUGGUGAGGAACACAAAGGUACACAAAGGAAGAACAAACAACAGCAGACCUGGUUUUUACGAGGCUGUUUGUGAUGGUGGUGGUGAGGAACACAAAGGUACACAAAGGAAGAACAAACAACAGCAGACCUGGUUUUUACGAGGCUGUUUGUGAUGGUGGUGGUGAGGA